rnacentral:rRNA from 1 species
AUUCCAGCUCCAAUAGCGUAUAUUUAAGUUGUUGCAGUUAAAAAGCUCGUAGUUGGAUUUCGGGUGAGGAUGACCGGUCUGCCGUUGCGGUACGCACUGGACGUUUUCAUCUUGUUGUCGGGGACGCGCUUCUGGGCUUCACUGUUCGGGACGCGGAGUCGGCGCUGUUACUUUGAAAAAAUUAGAGUGUUCAAAGCAGGCAAUCGCUCUGAAUACAUUAGCAUGGAAUAACGCUAUAGGACUCUGGUCCUAUUGUGUUGGUCUUCGGGACCGGAGUAAUGAUUAAGAGGGACAGUUGGGGGCAUUCGUAUUUCAUUGUCAGAGGUGAAAUUCUUGGAUUUAUGAAAGACGAACUUCUGCGAAAGCAUUUGCCAAGGAUGUUUUCAUUA